rfam:Pseudomonas tuomuerensis strain JCM 14085 PT85_1, whole genome shotgun sequence.
GAUCGUGUAGGGUGGAGAUGCACAACCUCCGGACUGUGUAGCAUCAGGCUUUUACAGACGCUUCCCGUCCACAUCCGCAGGUUGAUUCCUCCUCCUGAUUCAGUGCUUCUGCAUGCCAGUUGUAGCAGGAGACGUUCGUCGCGAGCCCGGUCCGUUUGAUCGGCACUCGCUUGACAAUGCAGCGGCCGCGCCGCUGUUGGACGCACCCGACACCGACCGUGAGAGUCGUGUGUGCCGCUUGCCGUUUCCGAAGCCCGGAAACCAA